rnacentral:rRNA from 1 species
CCUACGGGUGGCUGCAGUGGGGAAUAUUGGACAAUGGGGGGAACCCUGAUCCAGCCAUGCCGCGUGUGUGAAGAAGGCCCUCGGGUUGUAAAGCACUUUCAGUGAGGAAGAACGCCUGGUGGUUAAUACCCAUCAGGAAAGACAUCACUCACAGAAGAAGCACCGGCUAACUCCGUGCCAGCAGCCGCGGUAAUACGGAGGGUGCGAGCGUUAAUCGGAAUUACUGGGCGUAAAGCGCGCGUAGGUGGCUUGAUAAGCCGGUUGUGAAAGCCCCGGGCUCAACCUGGGAACGGCAUCCGGAACUGUCAAGCUAGAGUGCAGGAGAGGAAGGUAGAAUUCCCGGUGUAGCGGUGAAAUGCGUAGAGAUCGGGAGGAAUACCAAUGGCGAAGGCGGCCUUCUGGACUGACACUGACACUGAGGUGCGAAAGCGUGGGUAGCAAACAGGAUUAGAUACCCCUGUAGUC